rnacentral:tRNA from 1 species
GGCGCGUUGGCGGAGAAGUUACGCAGAGGUCUGCAAAACCUCGUAGACGGGUGCGAUUCCCGUACGCGCCUCCA